rnacentral:rRNA from 1 species
CACCAUGGGAGUCCGAUUGCUCCAGGAAGUGGCUGCGCCAACCGCUCGCAAGAGAGGAGGCAGGUCCCCAAGGAGUGCUCGGUAACUGGGGUG